CCUACGGGAGGCAGCAGUGGGGAAUUUUGGACAAUGGGGGCAACCCCGAUCCAGCCAUUCCGCGUGAGUGAAGAAGGCCUUCGGGUUGUAAAGCUCUUUUGUCGGGGACGAAACGGUUAAGGCUAAUAACUUUGACUACUGACGGUACCCGAAGAAUAAGCACCGGCUAACUACGUGCCAGCAGCCGCGGUAAUACGUAGGGUGCGAGCGUUAAUCGGAAUUACUGGGCGUAAAGCGUGCGCAGGCGGUUAUGUAAGCCAGAUGUGAAAUCCCCGGGCUCAACCUGGGAAUGGCAUUUGGGACUGCAUAGCUAGAGUAUGGCAGAGGAGACUAGAAUUCCUGGUGUAGCAGUGAAAUGCGUAGAUAUCAGGAGGAAUACCGAUGGCGAAGGCAGGUCUCUGGGUCAAUACUGACGCUCAUGCACGAAAGCGUGGGGAGCAAACAGGAUUAGAUACCCUGGUAGUCCACGCCCUAAACGAUGUCAACUGGUUGUUGGGAGAUUUAUUCUCUUAGUAACGAAGCUAACGCGUGAAGUUGACCGCCUGGGGAGGUACGGUCGCGAGAUAACUACAAUAGAGUAGAGCGNGAGAGUGCGACGACGACGACGAGGAGGAGG
rnacentral:rRNA from 1 species